rnacentral:lncRNA from 1 species
ACGGUUUUCCAAUGAUUAACUAUUUGAUUAUUUUUAUUUUUAACCUUUGCAAAUUUAUUUGAACUUUUAACAUGACUUACUUAGCCAAACUUUGCAAAUUUGAGAUAUUAAUCCUUUAAGAUUCCGUCUUAGUUAAACUUUCUAAGCCUUAACUCUCUAAGCAGACCUUCAAAUUUUAAACCUCUAUCGUUUCAAAACUUCAAUUUUUUAUUUUUUAGUUUGAUAAAGCAAAAGGCGUUCGAUGAGGGGGUUUGGAGUUUUUCUAACUCUAAAACUAACGACAAUUCAAACAAACGCACAAACAAGUAAUAAAGAGAGAGAGAGAGAUUUGGGUCCAAGUUUUCGGGUUCUGUUCGUCUUGACCGAAACUUGGACCCACCUGCUUUUGGGUUUUUUAACCCAUUUCUUUCUUUCGUACCUGUCCUAGUCUAAACAUACAAGAAUAAAUAUACGGAAAGUAAAAAUGACAAGGGCUUAUACCCAAAAUAAAUACAACUUUAUAAAUAAAUAAUAAUAAAAAAAUCUUCUAAUACUCCUUCCUUGAGCACCUUCGAUCUUCAUGAAGUUCGAAUUUUCGCACGCCUGCUGCCAUUCAUAUUUUUACACCUAUUUAAGGUAUAACGUUUCUGUAUAUCAGUGUAUACAGGCUGUAUAUCAGCCUGUUUUUCAACUUUCGAGAGUUGAAAAAUUCUUUUCAGCAGCUUACUUUACUGCCAUCAACCCAGGUUUCGAACUAGGCCUCCUGUACAUCUUUUGAUAUGUAUAUCACGGUAUAAACUGUGUAUAUGGUUGGUAUACAGCUUCUCAAUAUAUGCCACUGUAAUUUCCAGCAAUUUUCCAAGUUCUGGUGAACCAGAAUCAAUCUCCAGCAGUGCAUUUUCUGCUGUUCUUCCGACCUGUACACCUUUGAGAGGGUUCUAUGACUCGAAGAAGACAUUCUGAGCCUUUAUGGCUCGAUGAGGAAGUGUAGUGAGAUGGAAUAAAGUCCAUGAGGACUCGAGGAGGGUUUCACAUGCAAUAAAACAUACAAAAGAUUAGCACUUAAAGCGAUAAACUAAUAGAAAGUGUCUUGAACAAGACGAAGAUAAAAGAUGAACUACUUGGAGAAAUGAGUUAGAGGGGGGAUAAAUGACUUCAAAAAUAAUUCCGAAUGAUAUUAAGAAAUAAAAUCUCACAACAAGUAGGAUAAAUAACAGGGGCAAGCAAUGCAUGUACACAUAUUAAUGAAUUUGUCAUCUGCAUGAGGAUGCACUACUGCUGUUUAGUAAAUGCAAAGUAAACAUGCCAUACUUCAUUGGUACAGCAUAUCCAAUUGGCAAGACAUGAUGAUGCUAAAUACGAAAAAUACUUAUUUCCAAAUUACCGUAUCACACAUAAACACAAAACAUACAUGUGGAAUGCAAAGAGAGAAGCAUAUGGAAGGACUGUGCGUUCAUGAAAUUUUCUAACGGAGAACACCGCCAUGAACAACCAUGCCUUUAGCUGGAAAAAAAUGAACUAAAACUCAACCUUAAAACAUUCCGAAAUAAAUUCGACUAUCACAAACUAUUGGGAGAUGAGAAAGAACCUCAUUCGCAUUUCAACAAACACACAAGAAUACAUCACAUUUGGAAAAGUUGAACAGACUCCUUCAGCAGCCAUGAAACGAAAAGCGAGAACAACAACAACAACACAAUCAAAGGUAGCGACUUCGCGAUCGAAACAACAUGCUAAGUUGAAAAGACGAGGAAAACUUGAGAAGACGAUUACGAUCAAAGGGAGAAAUGCAACUGUUUAUCGAAGACAUUUCAGACGCAGACUAUACAAAAUUUGCACCCCAUACUCCCAAAACUGGAAAACGUCGACUCGGACUACAACCAAACUAACAGCAAAACUAUAGAAGAAAGGCAAUACGCAAUGACAGACUUCGAGUCACAACCAAAUGUCAGCCAACCACAUACAAGCAACAAUCGAGCGAAAAAAACGAGUCAUAAACAAAAUAAGGGUCGAUUCUCACCCCUUUUUAUGCAGCAAACGGCAACGACGAGUGAGGUAACGAGCUUCCACCACCAAAUGAGCUCAAAGCUGUAUUGAAAACGACCCGACGAGCAAAGGGAACAGGAUCGUGACUUCAGUCUCCUGAGUUGCGCGACUCUUUCCCUCUCUUCAAUUUUUCGCUCAAUCGUCCAACCAAAUUUCUAACUCCCAACACUCUUCCAGAUUUUUCUCUCUCAAAUUUCAACAAAAUUCCAACCUUAAAAUCAAAUCCCCAAUGUUUUCUAGCUACAGACAGAAAAGAACCAGAAUAUUUCGAUAAUUUUCGUACUCUUAGUGAUAAAUUCUCCAAUUCUCCCGAAUGUCUCCCCCUUUCGGAUGAAGAGAAAUGGGUUUUUAUAGAGGAGAGGAAUUAGCCCCUCCCCUUUGAAUUCAAAAAUUUUCAAAUCUAUUUUGGGUCAAACCCCACAUGGCCAGGCGUGUUGGAGAGGAUGAAAUUGACACCUCGCAGACCUACUCGACAGCGUAUGGGUCUCUGCGCUUCCGUUUGGUUCACGCGAAGAGAAAAGAUGGAAGGAGAAGAGCGUGGGGUUGUUGGCGAGUCGCGUCUGAGUUUUCUGGGUUUUUGUCGAGAGGGGAAGGAGAGAGUGAGCGUGGAGGAGACGUGAGGGUUGAGGGAAAGAGCACGGGGAGAGACGCGAGGGGAGAUCGCGUGAGGUUGCUGGCGUUUUUUUUUUCUCUGAAAAACGCGUGAUUUCUGGGGAAUUAUUU